CCUGGCUCAGGAUGAACGCUAGCGACAGGCUUAACACAUGCAAGUCGAGGGGCAGCGGGGGUAGCGAUACCCGCCGGCGACCGGCGCACGGGUGAGUAACGCGUAUGCAACUUGCCUAUCAGAGGGGGAUAACCCGGCGAAAGUCGGACUAAUACCGCAUGAAGCAGGGAUCCCGCAUGGGAAUAUUUGCUAAAGAUUCAUCGCUGAUAGAUAGGCAUGCGUUCCAUUAGGCAGUUGGCGGGGUAACGGCCCACCAAACCGACGAUGGAUAGGGGUUCUGAGAGGAAGGUCCCCCACAUUGGUACUGAGACACGGACCAAACUCCUACGGGAGGCAGCAGUGAGGAAUAUUGGUCAAUGGCCGAGAGGCUGAACCAGCCAAGUCGCGUGAGGGAUGAAGGUUCUAUGGAUCGUAAACCUCUUUUAUAAGGGAAUAAAGUGCGGGACGUGUCCCGUUUUGUAUGUACCUUAUGAAUAAGGAUCGGCUAACUCCGUGCCAGCAGCCGCGGUAAUACGGAGGAUCCGAGCGUUAUCCGGAUUUAUUGGGUUUAAAGGGUGCGUAGGCGGCCUUUUAAGUCAGCGGUGAAAGUCUGUUGCUCAACCAUAGAAUUGCCGUUGAAACUGGGGGGCUUGAGUAUGUUUGAGGCAGGCGGAAUGCGUGGUGUAGCGGUGAAAUGCAUAGAUAUCACGCAGAACCCCGAUUGCGAAGGCAGCCUGCCAAGCCAUGACUGACGCUGAUGCACGAAAGCGUGGGGAUCAAACAGGAUUAGAUACCCUGGUAGUCCACGCAGUAAACGAUGAUCACUAGCUGUUUGCGAUACACUGUAAGCGGCACAGCGAAAGCGUUAAGUGAUCCACCUGGGGAGUACGCCGGCAACGGUGAAACUCAAAGGAAUUGACGGGGGCCCGCACAAGCGGAGGAACAUGUGGUUUAAUUCGAUGAUACGCGAGGAACCUUACCCGGGUUUGAACGCAUUCGGACCGAGGUGGAAACACCUUUUCUAGCAAUAGCCGUUUGCGAGGUGCUGCAUGGUUGUCGUCAGCUCGUGCCGUGAGGUGUCGGCUUAAGUGCCAUAACGAGCGCAACCCUUGCCACUAGUUACUAACAGGUGAUGCUGAGGACUCUGGUGGGACUGCCAGCGUAAGCUGCGAGGAAGGCGGGGAUGACGUCAAAUCAGCACGGCCCUUACAUCCGGGGCGACACACGUGUUACAAUGGCGUGGACAAAGGGAGGCCACCUGGCGACAGGGAGCGAAUCCCCAAACCACGUCUCAGUUCGGAUCGGAGUCUGCAACCCGACUCCGUGAAGCUGGAUUCGCUAGUAAUCGCGCAUCAGCCAUGGCGCGGUGAAUACGUUCCCGGGCCUUGUACACACCGCCCG
rnacentral:rRNA from 1 species